rnacentral:misc_RNA from 1 species
GAUGCAUCUGAAGGCCUAGUUGGAAGAAAGAUUUGAAGAGAAGGAUCUUCACCACCAAAUUGCAAGGGGUUAUCAACCAACCCAUCAUUCAUGUCGGUGUCAGAUCUACCAAUGGCAGAAUCUGGAACUAAACCAGCUGGUCCCAUGACAGUAUUUGGAGCCAAUGCAUAACCAUUCAUUGACAUGGGACAGUUGAUAGGACCAUUAUCCAAAUCAAUGAAGGCACCUGGGACAUCUGAAUUAAGAAAUUGAAACCCUGGGCCACCUUGGUUUCCAGGUGGCAGCCAGUGGGGAAUCCCAAAUUCAUCAUCAUUAGGAUUUAGAACAUCAUUAGGAUUUAGAAAGCCCAAACCAUUCCCAUCUGUAGGAUAUUCAGUAUAGGGAUUUGCAAUUUCAGGAGGGGCCAUUGGAAAAGCAGCCCCAUCAUUGCCAGUUUGAUUAUUCUUAUAAUAAGCUCCAGAUGUCAUCAAUAGAUCAUUAUCAUCAUCUGAAUCACUAAGAACAAUAACCUCUGCAUCCAUUAUUGGUGCAGAAAUGUUUGGGUCAGUAAAUUCAUAUGCUGAAUCUACAUUUAGAGACAAUGAAUCAAGUUCUAUCCCAUUGUUCCUAAAAUCAAAAUUCCCACCACCAUCCUGAUUUACACUUGGAUC